AUUGAACGCUGGCGGCAGGCCUAACACAUGCCAGUCGAGCGGAUGAAGGGAGCUUGCUCCUGGAUUCAGCGGCGGACGGGUGAGUAAUGCCUAGGAAUCUGCCUGGUAGUGGGGGAUAACGUCCGGAAACGGGCGCUAAUACCGCAUACGUCCUGAGGGAGAAAGUGGGGGAUCUUCGGACCUCACGCUAUCAGAUGAGCCUAGGUCGGAUUAGCUAGUUGGUGGGGUAAAGGCCUACCAAGGCGACGAUCCGUAACUGGUCUGAGAGGAUGAUCAGUCACACUGGAACUGAGACACGGUCCAGACUCCUACGGGAGGCAGCAGUGGGGAAUAUUGGACAAUGGGCGAGAGCCUGAUCCAGCCAUGCCGCGUGUGUGAAGAAGGUCUUCGGAUUGUAAAGCACUUUAAGUUGGGAGGAAGGGCAGUAAGUUAAUACCUUGCUGUUUUGACGUUACCAACAGAAUAAGCACCGGCCAACUUCGUA
rnacentral:rRNA from 1 species